rnacentral:rRNA from 1 species
GACAGAGGGUGCAAACGUUGCUCGGAAUUACUGGGCGUAAAGCGCGUGUAGGCGGGAAGAUAAGUCGGGUGUGAAAUCCCUGGGCUCAACCUAGGAACUGCAUCCGAAACUGCCUUUCUGGAGUGAUGGAGAGGAAAGCGGAAUUCCCGGUGUAGAGGUGAAAAUUUCGUAGAUAUCGGGAGGAACACCAGUGGCGAAGGCGCUUUCUGGCCGAUCAACUGACGCUGAGACGCGAAAGCGUGGGGAGCAAACAGG